GACAGAAAAAACAUAGUAAUGUUGCAAAAUGCAGGACCCAAGAAUUGUCAACGCUCAAGGGCACUCAAGGGGCUCUCUUCUCUAAGACCCCUUUCUCAGUGAGAGGAUUCUACACUGUUGACCCCUCUCUCAGUGAAGAUGCUGGAGAGUUUUGGCACCUGUUCCCACUAACUUACUUUCGUGACUUGGAUUAUGACCUCCCCAUGUAAGGGAAGGCAGUAUAGUUACUGCCCCAUCCCCAUUCCUACCACUGAAAUAAAAUUCAUGUCUCCUACACUUCUAAACACUACUAGAUUCAAAUAGGCUGACAAUCUGCAACUCCACCUAAAGAUCUCUCAAAUCUUGCAGAAGCAAAUGGGGCAUGCAUGUUUCUCUUCAAAUCUUCUCAACCCUCCUUGGACUUCAGCCAUUGCUGCCCAACCCAUUCUAUACUGCUUUGACCACCUUUGCACAAGCAUAACCUGACAGACUUCUCUUAGAACCACACAGUUUACCUACAUCUCACUUUCUACUCCAGAGCUUCUCCAGUACAAUGAUGUGGGAUACUGUGGCAAUUCGCCUGGCACACAGGAUGUUAAUUCCCAAAGGUCACCCUUGAUCAGUGGAAGAUGGGACUCACAGGAAUCCAGUGUGUAAAUAUGUUUCCAUUUCUUCUGUCAAAAAAUAAUUCAGAGACUCAUCUAAUAAUGCUCCCCAAGGUGGUCGCUUGCAGUGGUGUCCAAUACAAUUGGCCUACUGUCCUUUCACUUUACUAUCCAUAACUCUUCCUCUUCCCUCUAAGAUCUCGUUCCACCCUAAGGACUUAACAUACACAACUCUGGCUCAGCCUCUGUAUUUGAAGAAACCCAGGUUAAAACAGAGAUACCAAAAGUAGCCACAGAAAGCUGUCAGGAUGGGAUUUUGGAACUAGCAAUAAGCACUAAUUGCUGGUUGUAAGUAAGGUAGGCAUAACUUCAAUAGUUUCAUAUAUCCAAAAAUAGUCCUACAAAUAACAUAUUCUAAUAAAUCAUAUAACAAUCAUAUAAUGUUUUUAAUCUCUCAAUAAUAAAAAUGUAUCAACUAUGCUAGAGGAAACUUUGAAUUAUCUUUCUAGUUUCUCUGUAGAAAAUGUUACAAAGUUGUCAUAUGGAGAAGAAAUCAAAGUGUAUACAGCUAUAAAAAGUAAGAUUAAUAGUAUUAUGCAUUUGAGAUUGGGCAUAAAUUUUAUGUUUUUUUUUUUUUAUUUUCUAGUGUUUUGUGGUAUUAUUUCAGGGGUUGGUAAGUGACCUGAGCUAGUCUAAUUUGAAUUUCAGAUCUUAUGAUGAUGAACGGGCAUUUUCGCUGGAUUCAAACCUGAAAGAUUAUUGUCCCAGGGGCUAUAAGCUACUUUCUUGAAAGCAUGUAGGCUUAGAUAAUGGAGCCAAUAGCAACUAGGAAAUGCUUAAAAAUUAAGAAAGAAGAAAAUAAUUUGACUCCUAGAAUAAGAGGAAUCUGAAACCACUGUUCCAUUAUAUGAGGCAAUAAAUUCCUCUUUCUUAGACAUUUGAGUUGGAUUUUCCAUUACUCACUACAGAAAGCAAAGGUACACAGGGAUUACUAUCCUCUUGAACACAAUGAAUGACAAAACAUUUGGCUUUUUUCUGGUAUAAAAACCAUAUCUAAUUAUUUCCAAUGUUAUUUCAAACAUGGCCCAUGACAUCCUGAGUAAACUGUACUUAUUCCUCAUUCUUAAUUUUCUUAUGAUUUCUUCAGGGAAAACUAUUUUGGUUUUCAUUAGUUUAUUUUCUCUGAUUUGCAUUCUUAUAGCACCUUAUAUUUCAUUUUUAUAUUAUAUAUAAAUAGAUGAUAGAUUGAUAAAUAGGUAGACAGAUGAUAGAUAGACGAUAAAUUUGUCUUCUGUAUCUCCCAUAAGACUUUAAGCUCCAAGAGGGAGGCUUACCAUCUUCAUUUAUUUUCAAAGGUAUAUGCCUGGCAUCAAGCCCAAUGUCUGUAUGAAAAGAAUACUAGUUAAGUGAGAAAAUAGUGCCUGAUGGAAUGAUAGAAUGAAUGAAUUAUUUAACUCAUAUAAACAUGAAAAGCCAGAAUCUUCAAAUUGCUAAUAAAUACAUGAGUAUGUAUAUACUCAUAUACAAUUAUGUAUGUAUACUUAUUUUAUACAUAUUUGUGUAUGUAUGUGUGUACAUAUAUAGAUACAUAUAUGUGUGAACUUAUAUAUGUAGACACACACAGAAACAUACAUGUUAAAGAAUGUGAAGGGAAGAUCUAUACAGGCCUGAAUGCCAUGUAAUAGUCACAGUGCUCAGGAUCCCUUGAAAACCCAUUUGAUCUUAGAGUGGAGUAGGUAGUAGAGCAGAUGACAGAAAAAGAGGAAGGUAUGCUCUAAAUGCAAUCAGCAAAUACUAUUUUGUUUUAUGUUGAGAUAUUUUUUUCUACACAAAUUACAUAAGAAAAUUACACUAUCUUGGUAUAAUAUGUGUGAUGAGGAUGGCUAAACAUUUGCAAUAAGAAUAAGUCAUUAAAUAUCCUGGGGCGAAAAUACCCAUAAUGAAAUACAAAUGAUCUCCUUGGUGAUUGUGGAUGCCAUGGGACAGAACACCAACCACAAGAAAAGAGAUUACCUGACUAUAAAGCCAAACUGACUGCAACCCAGGGAAGUGACAACUGACUCCAUUUCUACCAUAGCCAAAUAAGGCAGCACUAUUCACAGAAGCCAAGACAUGGAAACAGCGUAAAUGUCCAUUGACAGAUGAAUGGAUUAAGAAGAUAUGUUAUAUAUACACAAUGGAAUACUAUUCAGCCAUAAAAAAGAACAAAAUAGUGCCAUUUGCAGCAACAUGGUUGGAACUAGAGACUCUCAUACUAAGUGAAGUAAGUCAGAAAGAGAAAGACAAAUACAACAUGAUAUCAUUUAUAUCUGGAAUCUAAUAUACAGUACAAAUAAACCUUUCCACAGAAAAGAAACUCAUGGACUUGGAGACCAGACUUGGGGUUGCCAAGGGGGAGGAGGAGGAAGUGGGAUGGACUGGGAGUUUGAGGUUAAUAGAUGCUAACUAUUGCCUUUGGAGUGGAUAAGCAAUGGGAUCCUGCUGUAUAGCACUGGGAACUAUAUCUAGUCACUUAUUGUGGCACAUGAUGGAGGAAAAUGUGAGAAAAAAAAUGUAUAUAUGUAUGUGUGACUGGGUUACUUUACUGUACAGUAGAAAAUUGACAGAACACUGUAAACCAACUAUAAUGGAAAAAAUAAAAAUCAUUUAAAAAUGAGAAUCAUCUUAUGAUUCUCCAGAAUUGCCUCCCUCCACAAAAGAUUUUAUUCUGAUGUAUCCAUUAGAAUUAGGAAAAAUUAUCCUUAUCUUGGAAAUAAGACAAAAAAGAAUACAGCAUAUUUUUUCAGUGACAUACUGGGACAUUUUAUCAACAGGUCUACCCUUGGAUUAUUUGCUUCUCUUGGAAAAUAUAAUUCUGAAGCUACUCUCCAAGGAAGGAGAGAUUUUUUUCUCAUAAAAAGAUCACCCCAAAGGUUGUGUUCUUAUUGCCUCUCUUGGACCCAAACAAGCUUUCUGUCUUACCUAGACAAUUAAAGUUCAUAUUUUCAAACACCUGUAACUAGUUUCUCAAAAGUUCUUUGAACCAACUUUAUCAUCCUACUGGUCACAUGAUUAAUGAGUUAACACUCAGUGAUACCCCUGUUGUAUAAAAGACUUGUGUUUAUUUUUUGGAAAAAUUACCCUUUGAGCAUGAGAAUCUAUGCUCAUUCCUAUUUAUUUAGCACAACAGUUUUGAGGAAUAUUUAAGCCAUUAAUAAUUUUUUUUAUGACCUCACCUGUGGCAUGUGGAGGGUUCUGGGCUAGAGUUGAGUUGGAGCUCCAGCUGAGGCCUCUGCCACAGCCACAGCAACACUGGAUCUGAGCCACAUCUGUGACCUAUGUGACAGUGCCAGAUCCUAACCCACUGAAUGAGGCCAGGGUUUGAAGCUGCACCUCGGAGAAACAUCAGAUUCUUAACCCACUGAGCCACAAUGGGAACCCCAGUAGAAGUAUUUUGAAAUUAUCUUUUCCUCCAUUGACUUCUAUUGAGAAAAAUGUUGGGUUUUUCUGUAUUUUAAGACAUUAAGGCUACUUUUUUCCUUUUUGGGCGAGUGUUUUGUAAAGUGGGUCCCCCUCGUAGCAAAGUUGCUCUCUUCUCAUUGAGACUGGUUAAAUUUCACACCUGGUGCCUACACAUUCUACCCUUACAUAAUGGAGUUUGACACAUCAUAUGAUUUUAAUGGCCCUCAUGCGCAGCCUGUGGAUGUUAGCAACUUCAAGUGUUUGGGUAGUCUCAGCCUUUCUUCCCCCCACUUUAGUAUUCUUUUUCAACUUUCGUAAGAUCAGAAACCAGUAGGCAGCUCAAGGAACUGACUUAGUGAGUAUUUGAGGCCAACUUAUUUCUAGAUAUUAUGAAAGUGGUGUGAGGUGUGACAGGAGCAUCAACACAGGUGACUUGUUACUGAGGCAGGGGGGCUCAAGGGGGUGCUAUUAACAGUGUCUUCUAGAGCCAUCUUUUUGGCGCCUCUGUUCCUGUGAAGCCAGUACACCAUCUGGCAGUUAGGCAUAGUGCCAUUUUAACAGAUGGGACCCAUAUAGGAGGCUCUGAGACCAUUUAUUACUAUCAACCAUAGUGUCGGACAGAGUUUUCUGAGGAAAUAUUCAACUCACUCAUUUUCACCUUGGCUUUUAAUUCCUCAGUAAAAGUAGAUAAUAUUUCUUCCUUUAAGUGAGGAAAAGACAAGAAAUGGUUUUCUCUUGGGAGUCUGGUGCUAUCAGAGAAUGAGUUGAUGCCAAAUCUUAUACACACUCAUUAUUCAUACAACUUUAGCAAAGUGACUCUUUUUUUCUUAAAUAUUUCCCUUUCAAAAUAUUCUAUAACAGCCUAGUUUUUAGCCUCAUAAUUUGAUAUGUAUAUGUAUAUGUCUUUUGGAUGUGAUUAAAAACAAAACAGAUUGAGUCAUUUUCCCCUUUUGAUGUCCUAGAAAGAACUGAAAUUAAGAGGGAAAAAGCUAUCAAUCAUUGGCCACUUGGAAAAAUUUUGGUGGGUGCUUAACUUAGGCAUAUGAUAUUUUUAUGAUUCAAAGGAGUAAAUGAUACAAUUUUUGCCCUCAAAAAACUUAUCAGUUUGUUGGGAAGAUAAAACACAUACCUAAAAUGACAUUUCUUCUUUCACUGUAAAAGUAAUUCAUAAUUGGAAUAGGGCAUUAGAAAAAUACAGACAAAUGGAAGAAAAAUAAGUUAUCCAUAACCUUAUCACACAAAACCAAUUCCUGCUACACUUUGAGGUGUUCAUCCCCAGUGUUUUGUUGUUGUUGUUAUUGUUGUUGUUUGUGGGUUUAUUGGUCUUUUUCAGUGCACACUAUUUGGUUCAUGUAUUUAUGAUCCUAUUACAUAUCUAGCUUUUGAUACUGAUCUUUCAUAAUAUGCUAUGAUCCUAUUACAUAUCUAGCUUUUGAUACUGAUCUUUCAUAAUAUGCUAUAGAGAUGGCUUUAAUAAACAUCUUUGUAAAUGAACUUUUUUCUUUUUUAUUCUUAUGUGCUUAGAAAAUAUCUCCAGGAGUUCCCGUUGUGGCUCAGUGGUUAAUGAAUUUGACUAGGAACCAUGAGGUUGCGGGUUCGAUCCCUGGCCUUGCUCAGUGGGUUAAGGAUCUGGCGUUGCCGUGAGCUGUGGUGUAGGUUGCAGAUGCGGCUCGGUUCCUGUGUUGCUGUGGCUCUGGCGUAGGCCAGUGGCUACAGCUCCAAUUCGACCCCUAGCCUGGGACCUCCAUAUGCUGUGGGAGCGGCCCAAGAAAUGGCAAAAAGACAAAAAAUAAAAAAGAAAGUAUCUCCAGAAGCAAACUUUCUGGGUCAAAGGGAAUACUUGUUUAUUAAAGAAUCUUCAAGAGUUCCCAUCAUGACUCAGUGGUUAAUGAAUCUGACUAGGAAUCAUGAGGUUGCAGGUUCGAUACCUGGCCUGGCUCAGCGGGUCCAGCGUUGCUGUGAGCUGUGGUGUAGGUCACAGACGCAGCUCAGAUCUAGCAUUGCUGUGACUGUGGCGUAGGCCAGCAGCUGCAGCUACAGCUCCAAUCAGACCCCUAGCCUGGAACCUCCAUACGCCAUGGGUGCAGCCCUAAAAAGACAAAAAAAAAAAAAAAAA
rnacentral:lncRNA from 1 species